rnacentral:lncRNA from 1 species
GAUAACAUAUGUGGAAGGGCUGUACAGGGUGCUAGUGUGUUGGUUUGAAGGGCUGGUACAGGGUGCUAGUGUGUUGGUUUGAAGGGCUGUACGGGGUGCUAGUGUGUUGGUUGGAAGGGCUGUACAGGGUGCUAGUGUGUUGGUUUGAAGGGCUGUACGGGGUGCUAGUGUGUUGGUUUGAAGGGCUGUACAGGGUGCUAGUUGGUUGGUUUGAAGGGCUGUACGGGUGUAGUGUGUUGGUUUGAAGGGCUGUACAGGGUGCUCAGUGUGU